rnacentral:rRNA from 1 species
UGCGAGUCAUUGUAGCAAUACAAGGCAGACGGCUCAGUAACGCGUAGUCAAUCUACCCUAUGGACGGGAAUAACCUCGGGAAACUGAGAAUAAUGCCCGACAGAACAUUAUACCUGGAACGGUUUAUGUUUCAAAUGAUUUAUCGCCGUAGGAUGGGACUGCGGCCUAUCAGUUUGUUGGUGAGGUAAUGGCCCACCAAGACUAUUACAGGUACGGGCUCUGAGAGGAGUAGCCCGGAGAUGGGUACUGAGACACGGACCCAGGCCCUAUGGGGCGCAGCAGGCGAGAAAACUUUGCAAUGUGCGAAAGCACGACAAGGUUAAUCCGAGUGGUUUCUGCUAAAGAAACCUUUUGCUAGUCCUAGAAACACUAGUGAGUAAGGGGUGGGCAAGUUCUGGUGUCAGCCGCCGCGGUAAAACCAGCACCUCAAGUGGUCAGGAUGAUUAUUGGGCCUAAAGCAUCCGUAGCUCGUUUUGUAAGUUUUCGGUUAAAUCCAUACGCUUAACAUAUGGGCUGCCGGGAAUACUGCAUAACUAGGAAGUGGGAGAGGUAGACAGUACUCGGUAGGAAGGGGUAAAAUCCUUUGAUCUAUUGAUGACCACCUGUGGCGAAGGCGGUCUACCAGAACACGUUCGACGGUGAGGGAUGAAAGCUGGGGGAGCAGACCGGAUUAGAUACCCCGGGUAGUCCCAGCUGUAAACUAUGCAAACUCAGUGAUGCAUUGGCUUGUGGCCAAUGCAGUGCUGCAGGGAAGCCGUUAAGUUUGCCGCCUGGGAAGUACGUACGCAAGUAUGAAACUUAAAGGAAUUGGCGGGGGAGCACCACAAGGGGUGAAGCCUGCGGU